GAUGAACGCUGGCGGCGUGCCUAAUACAUGCAAGUCGAGCGAACAGAUGAGGAGCUUGCUCCUCUGACGUUAGCGGCGGACGGGUGAGUAACACGUGGAUAACCUACCUAUAAGACUGGGAUAACUUCGGGAAACCGGAGCUAAUACCGGAUAAUAUAUUGAACCGCAUGGUUCAAUAGUGAAAGACGGUUUUGCUGUCACUUAUAGAUGGAUCCGCGCCGCAUUAGCUAGUUGGUAAGGUAACGGCUUACCAAGGCAACGAUGCGUAGCCGACCUGAGAGGGUGAUCGGCCACACUGGAACUGAGACACGGUCCAGACUCCUACGGGAGGCAGCAGUAGGGAAUCUUCCGCAAUGGGCGAAAGCCCGACGGAGCAACGCCGCGUGAGUGAUGAAGGUCUUCGGAUCGUAAAAUUCUGUUAUUAGGGAAGAACAAAUGUGUAAGUAACUAUGCACGUCUUGACGGUACCUAAUCAGAAAGCCACGGCUAACUACGUG
rnacentral:rRNA from 1 species